GACGAAACGAGACUCGAGAGCCGCGAGUUGCGAACACUGUGAGUGAGCAAGAUCGUGGCCGGUACCGUGUCGUGUGGACUCGCUCAAAGAAUGGAUUCGUCCGGUUUCCCCACCACUUGGAUUCACAGCUCUUGCCAUAUAUGGGCAUAAAACGAAAGCGGCUCGCUGAUUGGUCGGUUGGCCGGCUGCCGGCUAGAUUCUCCAAAUGCCGCUUCAAACUGUACGAUACGGGGAGCAUAAUGCCUUCUGGAAGCGUACACUAGCUAAGGGCUUUCCUGACUAACCGUCAGAGCUGUUUGUAGUAGUAAACGUAUCAAUACGUACGAACGUAUAUGUGAAGAUUAUCACGUUCUUUGUGUGCGCGUGCUAGCGACCAGUACCGGCAGUAGGUAUGAGUCAGAAAAAGUUUUGUUAUAUACUUUGGAAUGGUCAACAUUUUUUUUCACUUGAUGCAAGUCGAAACAGUUGUCAUUGAGAUUUAAUGAUCCUCUACUCAUUCGUAAGCUUUCAUGGAAAUUCCUAUCUGUGAAAUAAUAUUAUGAAGUUCGUCGAAUUUAUAUUACGAAAUUUAAUGAAAUAGGAAUCAUGUUACUAAUCCUGGGACAUUUUUCACCUAAUUACCUUUUUCCAUUGAUUUCUUAAAUUUGAGGAAAAUGUGAGAGAACUCUUAUUCAUAGGCCAGAUUUUUUGUUCCAAUUUUAUGCUAAAUUCUUUCCACAAGAAAAACUCGUAUUUCUUGGUAUAUAUAUAUAUAUAACCUAUUUACUGCCUUGAUUACUUAAAAAAUUAUCAGUAAAAAUCAUAUUUCUUUCGCAUUAGUUGUAAUUACGUAACAUAUCUUGGCACUAGAUUUAUUCCUUAACCAGGAUAUGGUAUGAUUAUAUUUGAAGAAAGCGAAUCUUCGAACGAAAAAGGGCAACAAAUUGUCUUUCCGUAAAAUUUAAUAAAAUAAUAUUCUGCCUUUACGACAUAGUCAAAUAGAAUAAGCUGGCGUUCGUAGAAGGUCAUUGAUGAUUUAUUUCUAAAAAAUUCAGUUACCGUGUCACUUUCAAUAUUAAUGAAUAUUAGUGACUCAUAUUAUUGUAGUAAUAAUCUGCAUACCAUGUUUAGUACUACUUGUCUUCCUUUAAAAAAAUUGCGCCAGAAGGAAAAUAAUUCGCAAGAAGGAUUUAGAAAGUCAGUAGGUCAGACUCCACUAUUUAUGCAUACUCAUUGUCUAGAUUUCGUUUUAGAGUAGGACAACUAAUGUCUGCCUAAAAGUUAAUAUGUUUUUGAAGAAUUUUAAGGUAGGCCUAGACUAAGUAAUUAAAUGAUGUUCGUCCACCCACUUAUUGCGCGUGGUAUAUGUCAUCUCGGCCGCCUUUUUCAUACAACAGAAGCUAAAAAUAGACUCAAGGGCGCGGAUAAGGGUGCACUGGACUACUACCACGUCACGUAAGCCCUAUGCUUCGGCCCUAUUUCCUGUAUAUGUGUCGGUCCGACGGAAGGCGGCAUGGUGUGUGUGAGUGCAGUGUCUGCUUCAAAAUCGAUACGCGUGUUCGUGCAGUCUACAAUGGUACAUCGUACUUGUGCACGGAAACCACGUGGUGAUGGAAACGUCAAAAUAAACGGAUGGACUGCUUCAGCCAAGUCUAACCUAACCUCGAAACAUCGAAGCCGGCACCCAGCUGUCACACGCACACAGCAUCUUUAUACACGUCAAUUUCGUGUAACUCCAUUGUCCUUUUAACCGCUCAGGUUUUUAUUGGACAAUAUGUUAUUUUACUCAAGUAUAAUAUGAAAAGAUAAAUACAAUAAAAUGGUAUCUAUGGAAAUUAUUUUUAUUGAUUAUACAAAGUUCAAAGAGAAUAUAUGAGUCAUGCAGAAACCGAACCGAUGAAUUGUAUUUUUUGAAAAUUUCAUAAUUUUUGUCAUAUUAGUGUUUAGUUUCAUAGAAACCAAACGAUUAACCUCUAUCAAAAUUUGUUCGCCGUGAUUGGGCAGAUCGACCUCUACGUGGUUCAUAUAAAAAUACAUGUUAUACACUUUUCGAUGAAAAUUACAGUACAGAUAGAAAUAUGCAUAUUUGCAAUUGAUAAUGUAAGUAAAAUGCCUUAUAUAUGACUAUGUUUUAACAGCACGCGUUAGUAUUAACCUUCGCUGCUCCAGCUGCUCCUGUCGUAUCACACGACGUGUCUCUAUUUACUUUCUUCGUUAUCGUGGCAGGUCCGCAAUAGGAAGAAUUAAAUCCAAGUAAGGUGGAGGUGCAUUGUGGGCGGCCUGAAAACCCAAUGGUCCGCAAAGCCUCGACCUUGCUUACCAAAUAAGGUUCCGUUCAAGGUCUUCGAGGCCUUGCGUAAGGCUGUGCCAUCGGCAUAACGAUUAACCGAUUAUGUCCACGCUUUAGUCAUCCGUCGUUUUCAGUGAAAGUGUCUGGUGCAGUUUCCACGAGAACAUCGACAUAUUUUGUACAUUCUUUAAUCUCCAUGGAAUCACCGAUUUCGUUCUAUGGAAAGUCCGGAUUGGGCGUGUCUGCCCUACACGGACACGUGCCGUAGGUAACGUCUGGCUCCAGUCGCGCAGUGCCACCGAAAUCAAUACGGAAUGCGACGGUAAGUUCAACGCACCCACCCAGAAGAGUACUUAAGGUUCUUUCUCAUUGGACUAGCCGCGUGCAUUCGGUCCAGACAGUGAAACUAUCGGGAAUCACCGUAACGAGGUCAAAGACCUUAUAUAACACACCUUUCGCACAAUCGAAAAUUUACGGAAAGAAAU
rnacentral:lncRNA from 1 species